AUGUCAGAUGUCGCAUGCUCCCUUGCAAAUCGGACAGCUCUUUACACCCUGUGAUGUCCAUUUUCCGGAUAGAGCUGAGGCCACCCAACCAUUUCGGAAGUUCUGGCUGAGUAUUAUCUUCUAGCCACAAUGAUUUGAUAAAUGAGAGGUCUCCAAUUAUGUCUAAUGAGUUGCAUGACAGAUCGGUACAACUUAUUAUCCUUAACUCAGUGAUGGCAGGGAGGUGGUGAAGCAACAUCCACUGAUCCAAAGGCACCUUGCUGAAUUUCACUGUCAUGAUCACGUUUGUUAGUGAAAUAGAGGAGGACACAGUGGAUGCUCCCCUCUCUCCCCAUGAUGAUAAUACAUUAUCGCUGCUCUCUAUUUCCCAUCUCUUAGCUCCAGGUGGGCAUGGUUUCAGUCUUAAAUCUGGACAAUCACGUAUUAACAAUUCCACAAGGUUUGGGAACAUGAAUUUCUUGACACUACCCAUGUCAUAGGAGUACAUUGUCUCCCACAACUUGAGGUUUCGCAUACGGCAUAAGCAAAAUUUCCUCAAUUCAGGGAAGGCUCUUGCACCGCCACAGAAAUCCCCAUCAAUUAUCGUAAUGCUAUCCAUUACACCUAUAACUAGCUCUUGCAAGUUUGUUAAUUGGCCAAGUGGUGGUAAGCUGUUGCAUUUGCAUAUAUCCCACAAUUCAAUCUUGCUAAGACUUGGGAGAUAAAGUGUAAUGUCCAUAACCCAGGCAGGAAACCUCACACUGCUGUAACCUGUCAUAUUAAAUUCCCUUAAACUAAUUGGUGGCACAAGCUUUCCCAGUACUUCCACAUCCUCCACAGAACUCCCAGCAUCUCUAGUCCACUGUAGUUUCAAAUCGUUAAUAACCUGUCUUUUCAUAACCUUAGUUAUGUACAAAUCAUUAGAAUUUGUGUACCACCGUGACAUGAUGUUGAACAGGAAUUGGCUUAGCAUAUUGGAGCUCCAUGUCGGAUCAGUGCAACACGUGAUGUGUAAAGUACUCAGGGAAGGGAGGUCGUGAAACAACUUCCACUGAUCCAAAGGCGCUUUGUCAGAUCUGACUGUUACACUCACAUCCAUAGGUGCAGCAGAGGAAGUAGCACGAGUUUCACCCCAUAAUGAUAAUACAUUAUUGCUGUUCUCUAUCUCCCAUUUGUUUGCUCUAGGAAGGCAUGGUUCCAUUCUCAACUUUGGGCAAUCAUUUAUUGACAGCUCCUUAAGGUUAGGGAACAUGAAUUCUUUCUCAACAUCCUUGCCAUUGGAGUACAUCGUCUUCCAUGCUUCCAGAUUUUCCAUGUGGUAUAGACAAAAUCUCUUCAGUUGAGGGAAGGCUCUUGCGCCACCACAAAAAUCCUCUUCGAUGAUCGUAAUGCUGUCCAUUUCUCCAAUAAUUAGCUCUCUAAGGUUUUGUAAUUGACCUAAUGCAGGCAAGCUGUUGCAUUUACAUAUAUCCCACAGUUCAAUCUUGCUAAGUUCUGGUAGAUAAAGCUUUAUGUUGAUAAGCCAGGGCGGAAAGCUCACACUAUUGUAACCUGUCAUAUUAAAUUCCCUCAAGGUGCUUGGUGGAACAAGACUUGCCAACACUUCCACAUCCUCAAGAGACCUGCAAGCAUCACUGGUCCAUUGAAGUUUCAAAUCAUUAAUCCCCAGUUUUUCUAUCAGCUUUAUACUCUGGACCUCUUCUGCAGACUUUACAUUAUCAAGGCAAGUUAUGUGCAACUCAUUAGGAUUUGCAUACUGUAGAAGACCGAUGUUGCUGCUAGAUUGACCUUCAUCAGCUUGGACCACAAAAUGCGGCAACAAGUCAAAAAUCUUUGAUCGGGAGAGUGCAGAUUUUUCCAGUUUGCGGCACCCGGUGACAUUCAAGAUCUUCACACUAUCCAUUCUAACCAAACAUUCUGGAAGCCUCACUAGAUGCGGACAGCAAGAGAGGUCCAGUGUAUGCAGAUUCUUGAGGUUGCCAAUACUCUCAGGAACACUUACUAUGCUAUCAUUAUUAGACAAGUCCAGAUGCCGCAGAUUAGAAAGGGUACAUAUACGGUCAAUGAAACUGAAUAGCUCAUCUGAGCUCGGAUUCCAGAAGAUAGAUCGUGUGGUAUGUGAUAGACCUAAAUAACGGAGUCCAAUUAGAUUACCAAUGACCUCUGGCAGCCCCUCAAGAAAUUGACCCAAUACAUAACCUAUUUGCAUUGAUAAAUUCAAGUAUUGGAUGUUGGUGAGGCCACCCAAAGCUUUCGAUACACCUCUAAGCUGAUUGUUGUUUGAUAAAUCCAGAUAUUCCAACUUUUUGAGAUUCACAAAUGAUUUUGGGAGGUUAUCUAUAAAGUGACAAUUCGAGAUAUCAAGAUGCAUCAGACAUCUCAAGUCACCAAUUGACUCAGGCAAUGCUAACAUCCUGGACCAACUCAGGUUGAGGUAAAUUAGUUUCGAGAGCUUGGUGAUACAAUACGGGAUCGUUUGACUUUCAAUCUUGGGGGCAUUGAGAUACCUCAAUUUCACCAAUUCACUUAUGCAAGCUGGCAACUUGUAUAUGCGGCACUCGCUUAAGUCCAAGACUUGUAGGGAUGUUGCAGAUGAAAAUGCAUAGCCGUCUAGCUUAAUUUGGCUACAGUCAAGAUAAGUAGGAGAUUGCAGAUAGCAUGGCGGGACAUAUACCUUUACUUUAAUGUGAGCCAGCAUCUUCUUGUUCUUCUCUAAAUUACACCACUCUGCCAAUUCAGGGCAGUGGUAAAUAGCUAGUCCUUUAAGCUUGGUAAGCUUUUGUAUGCUCUGUGGCAAAGAGUUGAUACCCCUACAAUAUCGGAUCUGAAGUUUCUUGAGAGCAGUAAGGUCACCCAACCAUUCUGGCAGCACUUUUAUUCUUGGACAGUCUAUCAAAGAUAGCUCCUGGAGGGAUGUCAGAUGUCGCACGCUCCCUUGCAAAACAGACAGCUCUUUACACCCUGUGAUGUCCAUUUUCCGGAUAGAGGUGAGGCCACCCAACCAUUUCGGAAGUUCUGGCUGCGUAUUAUCUUCUAGCCACGAUGAUUUGAUAAAUGAGAGGUCUCCAAUUAUGUCUAAUGAGUUGCAUGACAGAUCGGUACAACUUAUUAUCCUUAACUCAGUGAAGGCAGGGAGGUGGUGAAGCAACAUCCACUGAUCCAAAGGCACCUUGCUUAAUUUCACUGUCACAGUCACGUUUGUUAGUGA
rnacentral:lncRNA from 1 species